CUCAGUACAGAAGAAGGCUCAGACUACCACCAGGGUCAUAAAAGUACCCCUGGAAAUGCCCUAAACUCCCACGAAAGACUAGUAAAUUACGUGUUCUUGGGCGCAGAAAUGUUUAAAAUUAGGGCCCUCAGUACAGAAGAAGGCUCAGACUACCACCAGGGACAUAAAAGUACCCCUUGAAAUGCCCUAAACUCCCACGAAAGACUAGUACACUACGUGUUCUUGGGCGCGGAAAUGUUUAAAAAUUGGGCCCUCAGUACAGAAGAAGGCUCAGACUACCACCAGGGUCAUAAAAGUACCCCUGGAAAUGCCCUAAACUCCCACGAAAGACUAGUAAAUUACGUGUUCUUGGACGCAGAAAUGUUUAAAAUUAGGGCCCUCAGUACGCUCCUAAGAUCUGUUGGGUUAAAACUACACCGAGGCCGCAAUCAAACAAGUUCUGACGUCGAGCAAUACGGACAAGAAAUCAACCGUUCCUGUGUUUUACUUCGUGUUUUGAAUGAGACAAAGAAGAGACGGAGAGUGAGGACACGGGAGGGUCUUUGAUGGGCUUGCAACACCAACACCCCCUCACCCCCGUAUACACCUCACCGGGAGUGGUUUGCGCCCGUUACGAUAGGCGUCUCCCUCCCUAGUCCCUACUUACCGCACAGCCUCAUCGAGUAGCCUUGGGAUCCGGGGCGGUAAAGUUGCAGAAAAAAGAAAAACGGCAACCAACUACUGUACCACCCAACCAAGAGGAAAACCCGGAACAACCAACCAACCCUUCCACCACACGCACACACUUUCCACAGCCAUAGAUAGGGCGGUAUUGCCAGACGCUUCCAGGCUUCCACGGUCCAGCGUUUCCAAAUUAUCGUACUCUCGUUUUUCGGCUUUUCUUGAGGCAGCGGCUAAGUGUGGGUCCGCGGCUCUCAGGCAAAUUGUUUUUUUCUAGUUUUCGCGGAGAGCAGAAAGAGCAGUGUCUCCCCGCCCGUCGUGCUGGUCAAAUGACUACCGCAUAACCGUGUGUGGUAAGAACGCCUUUCUGGUGGAUUAUUCCCGCCCUGGAUUGCGGUAGGACUUGAUCUGGCUCCGGUCGUUGAGUCAGCACGGCAAGUUAAACAGGUAAGGGAGGUGCAGCAGAAGGAGAGAUAAACAGGUAAGGGAGGUGCAGCAGAAGGAGAGAUAAACAGGUAAGGGAGGUGCAGCAGAAGGAGAGAUAAACAGGUAAGGGAGGUGCAGCAGAAGGAGAGAUAAACAGGUAAGGGAGGUGCAGCAGAAGGAGAGAUAAACAGGUAAGGGAGGUGCAGCAGAAGGAGAGAUAAACAGGUAAGGGAGGUGCAGCAGAAGGAGAGAUAAACAGGUAAGGGAGGUGCAGCAGAAGGAGAGAUAAACAGGUAAAGGAGGUGCAACAGAAGGAGAGAUAAACAGGUAAGGGAGGUGCAACAGAAGGAGAGAUAAACAGGUAAAGGAGGUGCUACAGAAGGAGAGAUAAACAGGUAAGGGAGGUGCAACAGAAGGAGAGAUAAACAGGUAAAGGAGGUGCAACAGAAGGAGAGAUAAACAGGUAUAAAGGAAGAGCAACAGAGGGAGUGGAAUAAACAGAAAGGAGGUGCAACAGAAGGAGAGAUAAACAGGUAAGGGAGGUGCUACAGAAGGAGAGAUAAACAGGUAAAGGAGAUGCUACAGAAGGAGAGAGAUAAACAGGUAGAGGAGGUGCAACACAGAGAGAGACGAAGAGAUGAAGAUGAAACUGAAUGCGAGAGGGAGCUAAGAAUCUACAGCUUGACUCACGCCUGGUUCAUGGGAGAACAAUCAGGCUAAUAAGACACGUACAUAUGAUGACCAGGAUGUAAAUAAAACGAAUGGAGAAGGGACUGCGAGCGAGAGACUGAGACGAUGAG